rnacentral:ncRNA from 14 species
AGGGAAUAUGGUUAAAUUCCAUAGCAGCCCCCGCUACUGUAAGCAUGGACGAUUGAUAUAAUAUGCCACUCAAAAUGUUUGGGGAAGGAAUAUCAAGAGAAUGAUAUGUAAGUCAGGAUAUCU